rnacentral:misc_RNA from 1 species
CCCCCCCCCUCACCCACCCGAAUUCGGGUGGGCAAGGGGGGGGGGAGUAGGAUG